GGGUGGUGCUGCGCUUGCACAUGGAGCACGAGAGGCAGGAGGGGUGCAGAGCUGGGACCGUACUUCGGGGCCCGGGGCUGGAAGUAGGAGCAGUGCCCGCUUUGGGGACCCAGCCAGUGGUGCAGCCACUGUGCCCACCUUGCCGAGGGUGCCAGGUUCCUGUGCCCUGGGAGGAGGCUCUGGGCGAGGCCACCUGGGACUGCCUCCCCAGGGUCCGCCCAGCAUCCGAGUGACUGUCGAGCCUGACAGUCCCGACAGCCAGGGCCGAGGCCCAGGGCCUGUGGCCGCGAUCUGCUCCCGGAGGCGCCCCGCCCCCCGCCACGCCCAGAUAAAGCCACGAGCCAGGCCCAUGAAAGCCCUGGGAUCAGCCAGAGCAGAGCAGAGGAAGGAGAGACGAUGGGACAACCAGCUGCCGAGAAGAGCUACCCUCUCUGCUGGGAGCUGAACACUUGUGGGGACGACCUGCUUGCAGAGAGGAGCUACCCUCUCUGCUAGGAGCUAAAUACUUGAUGGGACACCCUGGCUGCGGAAAGGAGCUGCCCCCUGCAGGUCUUCUCUGAGCAGUUCUAUUGCUCAAUAAAGCACCUCUUCAUUUUGCCCA
rnacentral:lncRNA from 10 species